AUGCGUUAGCGAUAGUAAUGGUUAGCUUUUGGCGAGGCUUGCAUCGAGCCAAAACUAGUAAUGGAUAGCGCGACCACUU
rnacentral:sRNA from 1 species